UCGCGGAUGCCAAGCUGCCGGACAUGCAGGCCGGAUGGGAGCAGAUGUGCUCGAACGUCAUGGCCGGGCUUUCCGGUCUCAACAUGAUCUACGAGGCCG
rfam:Loktanella marina strain CECT 8899 genome assembly, contig: 0002